CCUCUUUUCUCAAGGAGAAGAUCUGACGUUACUUGAGGAAUAAGCAUCGGCUAACCCUGUGCCAGCAGCCGCGGUAAUACAGGGGAUGCAAGUGUUAUCCGGAAUUAUUGGGCGUAAAGCGUCUGCAGGUUGAUAUUUAAGUCUUUUGUUAAACCUCCGGGCUCAACCCGGAAUCUGCAAAGGAAACUAUCUAUCUUGAGUAUGGUAGGGGUAAAGGGAAUUUCCAGUGGAGCGGUGAAAUGCGUAGAUAUUGGAAAGAACACCAACAGCGAAGGCACUUUACUGGGCCAGUACUGACACUCAGAGACGAAAGCUAGGGGAGCAAACAGGAUUAGAUACCCUGGUAGUCCUAGCUGUAAACGAUGGAUACUAGAUGUUGUGUACCUUAGGGUAGGCAGUGUCGUAGCUAACGCGUUAAGUAUCCCGCCUGGGAAGUAUGCUCGCAAGAGUGAAACUCAAAUGAAUUGACGGG
rnacentral:rRNA from 1 species